rnacentral:lncRNA from 1 species
AGAGAAUGUCGAAGCCAGCUCAAUUUCUGAGAUACUCAAGGAAGAUAUGCAGUUGAUAUGGGAUAACUUCUUAAGCUGUGAACCUUUUCUGACAGGAAAUUGCAUUGUAAAUCAGUGAUCACUGUCUUUCUAUGCGACUGUACAUCUGUCUACAUCCCGAGUUUUAUGUUCAACUUUCGGCAUCCUUUGAUGAAUAAUGAGUAGCUGUUUUAAUGUUUCUAGCAAUUCAGUUUGUAUCUGGCACUGUUGAUGGUUAAUGACGUUUUUGAGAUUUUACAUUUCGAUGACUUGAUUGGUUUCUUUCUUCUAAGACAAUUCUAGCCGUACAUCUCUGGUUCGAAACUCCCCUCUCCUUGCAUUAUUAUAGUAGUUUCGAACUCUCACCCCUUUCCCUAAUAAUAGUAAAAAAAUUUAUUUAAAAAAAAAAAGUUUGUUUUUCUUGUUAGACAAUUCAUUAAUUUGCCAUGCAUAUGUCUAACUUGACUUAAAUAUGCAAGUAUAACUUGACUUAAAUAUGCAAGUAUUGAAGAAUGUUGAAGCCCACAUCGGAAAACUGACGGAUUCAAAUACAACUUACAGUGAAUGGAUAUGCAAAUAAAUGCAUCGAAGCCUUUUGUGUAAAAUCUCACAGCUCAGGGUAAAACUUUGACCGAAAGCAUAUAUCAGUUGAAUAUCAAAGUGCACAACGAAUGAGACUAACAAAAUAAGAAUAUUAUUAAACUAAUUAAGAAUGCCGAAGCGGAUACAAAACCCUAAGAGGCUACAUUGUGACUAGCUUAUUCUCAACUGAAUAACAAGCAUGCUAUUUAUAAUAAACUAACACUAACCCUAAUGCUAACAGGCCAAGCCCAAACUAAAAUUAUAAGAAAACCCAAACAAUAUAAUACCUAAAAUACUAAUAUUUUCCAACACCCCCGUCAAACUCAUGGCGGUAUACGACAUGAGUUUGCAAACAAGCAGAUGCGGACUGGCUCUGUUAGGCGGACUAGCAGGCAUGCAAACUUGACUUGACUUGACUGACGAACUUGUAAACUUGACUUGACUGGCGAACUUGCAAACUUGACUUGACUUGAUUGGCGAACUUGACUUGAUUCUUGACUUGACUGACAAACUGGCAAACUGGUUCUUGAUUCUUGACUUGAUUCUUGAUUCUGGCUGGCAAACUGGCUAGAGUUGAGAGUAUGGAAAGAACCCGUCACUAAACGGACGAGAUUUCUAUAUCUCAAUUGUAGCAAUGAACGAACAAACACAACUAUCACUCGAGUGGGCCUAAAGCAAACUUAACCAUUUUUUUUUUCUCUGCCCGUGUGGGCCUAAAGCAACAACAAUUUUUUUCUUUCUCUUGGGACUUUUUCGAAUGCUUUCCUCCAACAAACGACGUAACUUUUUCUUGCAUUGGACAACAGUUUUUGUUUUUCUUUCUUUUCUUUUUUUUUUAAAAUUUUUUCUUCUUUCUGGACUGACAAUCUGGAAGUGUAUGCCAUACACCUUCAGUAUUGGUGCGGCGGCGGUGCGAACAAACAACAACAAGCGGGUGGUUCUAAGGCAGCGGGUACAGCAGUAAUGUGGUGGAUCGAUCAGAUCGGUGGGUCGGGUUGGGGUUGCAGGCAACAGUCUGGUGCGGGUCGAGAGGGGUGCGGGUCGAAAGGGGUGCGGGGAUGCGAGUUGUUGCAGCGGCGGUAGAUCAUGCAGGUGAUGGUGGGUGUGGCCGACGAGUGAUGCUGUGAAAUGGUUCACAUGCGGACGACGGGGGUAUACUUGUACGAAGGCUGGUGGCUGGUGGGGAAUGGGUUUCGAUGCAGGUUUGAGAUUUGGGUUCAACGCAGAGUGGCUCCCGAGCAGACAGAUUCAAACAACAAAACCCUAACUAAAGACAAAACUGAUACUGAACAGAUAGACAAACAAAUCGAUAUCAACCCCAAAACAGAUUAAUUCUUGAAAGAUUUAACCUGCUCUGAUACCAAGUUGAAUAUCAGAGUGCACAACGAACGAUACUAACAAAAUAAGAAUAUUAUUAAACUAAUUAAGAAUGCCGAAACGGAUACAAAACCCUAAGAGGUUACCUUGUGACUAGCUUAUUCUCAACUGAAUAACAAGCAUGCUAUUUAUAAUAAACUAACCCUAAUCAUAAUGCUAACAGGCCAAGCCUAAACUAAAAUUAUAAGAAAACCCAAACAAUAUCAUAUAUACUAAAACUCAAACCCCCUGAUCACUGUGGAUGACCAGUGUGCAGACGUUUUUGCCCCUCCGUUUUUCCUCUGUUUCUGUUGCUGUUUCCAUCACGUUUCUGUACAGCGAAGUGUCGGAUUUACCCUUUCUGGCCACGCGUCUCUCAUCGCUUCACCUUCUGUUUCUCGACUCUUCUACUUCAUUCCACGUUUUUCCAUUUGUGUUCACUUCUCUCUCUCUCUCUCUCAAAUCUCUGCUUCCGUCGCACUCGAAGUCCUUCUGUCGCUCUUCUCUUUCUAAAAUCCAUCUAAAAAAAUGUAUAAUGGGUAUUGUUUCUCUCUGCAGGUUACUCGAAGAAGUCUGUGAGGGGUCAAUAGGAGAAGGUGGAUUGCGUUUCAAAGUGCAAAAAAUACAGGGCAUGCAUCUUUAUGCGUUUCCAAUCUUCCAAAAAUCGUGUUCGUGGAGGCGAUUUGAGACGGAUUUGAAGCUCGGCUACAGAGAUUUUAUUCAAUUUGGUGGAUUUGGGUAAGAAACUAAGAAACCCUAAUAUUUUCUUUUGGUUUUAAGAGAACUAAGCAGAUUUUUGCGUUUGGAUUGAUGGAAAUCAUUCGAGAAAAGAUUCUUGGAAUUCUUGAUCGUUUGGUGAAAUAAGCAGAAUUUUUAUUUGCCAUGUUUAUUUGUAUUGUGAAUCCGAUGGGGGAUGGCUAUGAAAUAAGCAGAAUUUUUAAUAUUUGAUGUGGUUCGGUUUUUGGUUUCAGAAAUUUGUACCAAUUUGGUUUCGAUUGGAAUUUCUGGGCUCAUCUAAUCCAACGUUUCCAGGUGAGAAAGUUGCUUAAAUUUCGAUUUUUAGAUUGAUUUGAAGGAAUUUCUUGCCCAGAAAAGCUAGGGUUUCCUGGUAAGUUUUUCAAGUCUUUCAUCUUGGGGGUUUUGUUUUGUUCAAAUAUGGGGUUUUGUGAUUUUGGAUUUACAAAUGGAUUGAAAUUUCGAUUUCACCUCCCACUCGGAACCUGAUACUCAGUCACCUUUAGAGCAGCUUCCUUCUCUCUUUUUCUCCAACCAUGGUUGCUGAUCCACAGGGCAUCAAGGUGAGUUUUAUUUUGGCCAUAUUUUUUAGAUUUUUUCUGUUUGGUAGCUUAGAAAAUGUGAUCCCAUGUUUUAGUUUUGGUGUUUUUGUGAUUUUCGAUUCGUAGGUUUUCAGAUUUGAUGGCGUUUGUUUCUGUGCUCAAGGUAAGCAAUUUAAACUUCUGGGGUUAUUCAAUUCAAAGUUUUCAAUUUAUAAUUUAGUUUAGUUUUUUAUAAUCGGAGUUCAGUUUGGUAUUUCGUUUGCAUUUUGAUUAUAUUGAAAUGUGAGUUUCUGUUUGGGUUUGAUAUUUUUCCUAUAUAUCGUGAUUGAGUUGUGGUCUUAGAACUGAGUGUAAGAGACAUGUAUGUUUGGUAUCCAACUAAGUUGGACAACCAAACCAAUUGAAAUAAAGUAGGAUGUUUUUAAUGAUUUGAAGAACUGAGCUGCACUACAUGAGCAUCUGCUGAUAAUGUAUGACCUUCUUUUGAUGCUUUCCAGUUCAAUCAAAGCAAAUUAGACAAAAUCAUGAAUUAAUUAAAUGUGGUGUCUUCCUUUCUCCUCUGUUUCUUUUGCUGUUGGGUGAAAGUGAGCAUGGGUAUAUGAUAACCUAUUUAAAAGGAAAGCUGGAGAGAGAGAGGGUAAUAAAGUAGGUCUAUACAGGGACCCAGAAGUCAAGGCAUACUGACAGAGAAAAAUACACAGAUUGGUAUGGUAAAAAUGAAAAGAAAGUUUCCCCUUUCCUUUUAUUAGUUUUAGGGUUGGGUCGAACCCAAUAGAAUAUAGAAAAUGAAGUGUUAAGGUGAGUUGAUGUCGAUUUUAGAUAUGUAAUCGGUGCGUAAUCAAUUUUGAAUACAGCAUGUGGAACACUUUGAAUUCAGGUCGUCUUUUUUUUCCCUUUUUUCUUUCUAUUUAUUUAACUUCUGAUUGGCUGCUUUAUUUGUUUUUCCAGAUUAUAUAAUUUAAUCUUCUCUAAAAACUUCUGUGUCGUCCACUGUCAUCCGCUUCCGCUCCUUGACUCGCUUGAUUUUUAGUUUUCGGACUCUGAUUUUGUACAUCGACCCCACUUAGUGGGAAAAGGCUUUGUUGUUGUUGUUGUUGUUGUACUCUGAUUUUGUACAUGUGUUAGCAAUUGAUUGCCUUCUUUUGGAAAAAUGCUAAUCGAAAACUGAAUUUGGAUUGUAUGAUUAGUGGUUUUUGUUCUUCAUUUUACUGACAUUUUGGUCCAUUUUCCCCAAUUCUCUCUCGCAGCAAAAUCACCGCCACCACCCAACAAACCCAUGAGCUGGAAUUUCAAUUACUGUGCAUGAAGGGAGGUAAAGUUGUUAUCUCUCUACAAAGUGUAGAUUUUUUAUUUCAGGUUUCAUUUGUUUGUAUUGGGUAACUUGAAUUUUGCUUCAAAUUGUAGUAAUUGCCAUGCAAAUUUACUUUUUUUGUGUGAAAUUGGAGAGUUUCGGUUUUGAAAGUUAUAUUUGCAAAUAUGAAAAGAGCUUAUAUAAAAACAUGGAGGAACUGUGUGUUUAAUUAUCAUUAAACGCUACCUUUUAGCUAUGUAAUGUAGAGGCUGUUAAAAAGAAAUUUUAUAUCAUGUUUUGGUUUUGUUUCAUUUUUUUAUCUUCGGCCUUUGUUGUGUAAACUUGGUUGUGCCUUAUUUCUUCUGCCUUUUUGUAACUUUUUUUUUCAUAUCUCAAAUAAAAUUUGUAUUUCUUGAUUUUGUUUGUCCAGUUCAGACGAGAACAGUGUUUUCAUGUUCUCCCCAACAUCAACAAGCGCUUUGUUUGUGCUGAGGAAGCACUACUCAACCCUUCUCUACCAUUAUGAACAGGUUCACCUUUUAGGCACAGGGUCCUUUAUCUACCCCCACACAAUCUUCUAUAUUUAAUCUUUUGUAACAUAAUCUUUUAUACCUUUCAAACAUAAUUUUUCAUACGAUUCUUAAUCCCGCAGCAACGCCCGGGUAGCAUUUUCUAGUAAUACCUAAAAUACUAAUAUUUUCCAACAAUAUCUGUGAUAUUCAUAGGUGGUACUUGAAAGCAUGCUAUAUUAUCUUCAAAGGUUAAUUUGGUUUCUUUCUCUGUAACUCUGAGGACCCCUUCAAUGAACCUGGAAUCUAUAAGGGAAGGUUUGGAUACUGAAAGGAUAAAGAGGUGAUGGCUAUUAUUACUUUGGUCAAAAGUUAUUGGAAGUUUAUAUUUGGAGAAACUCAGAAGGCAAUGCGAAGAGCAAAAGCCAUAAAUAUUAGUCUUUAAAGACUCAUGUCCAAGAGUGCAUGUUUAUAUAAGUUUUGGUCUAGGCUUUCAAGUUUUCAACUUUCUACCUGCGCCUGCGUACUGAUUACUGUGUAAGACCCCCUCUCCUCCUCCUCCUCCUCCUCCUCCUCCUCCUCCUCCUCCUUUUUCUACAAAUUGAAUGUCUUAAUAUUAUUGAUCUCAAUCCCUCAUUCUCCCACUAGAGCCAACACUUAUUUAACACAAUACUUAUUGACAUGAAAUCAUACUUGUUUAAUACUAAGUUCUUCAUGGAUAUUAGCUUUUGACUGAAAUUUGUAAUUGUGUGAAUGUUUUAAGUUAUAAAUCGCUUAUUUUGUUAAUACUAAACUCAUGGCCAUUUAAGUAUGAUUUCUCAUGUGCUUAUGGGAGUGGUGUACUUUGCUCAAUGAGGAUUUUGUCGUUACACCGUGGGAUGAUGGUUAUGAAAUUCUGAUAUUAGAAUGUUAAGUUUUAGUGAUACGUUACGAAGAAAGUUGAGAUUUUAUUUUAAAAUUAAUUGACAGUAUUAUGAGAAGUUUUAUUUUUUAUUUUUAUAAAUGUGGAACUUGCUAUUACCAUGUCAUCAUUUAACAGUUAAUAAAUUUUCUAAUGGAUAUAUGAAAUUAUACCUAUACUAAAACCCCAAAACCGUGUUAUUGUUCACGGACAGUGCGCGGGCCAAAAUGCCCCUUAAGUUGGUCUUCGGCCAUUCCUUUUUGUCUUUUUUGUACAGUAAAAUCCCGAAUUUGACCUCAUUUUGUGCUAUUUGCCGGUUAUGCAUGGCUUGGACUUUGUUUCCGGGCCUGGGUUUUGUGUUUUCUAGGAAAGAUGAUUUACUUUUUUUAUUCUACACGUAUGUCUAUCUGACUUGCUUUUGGUUGGUAGUUGUGCUCUUUGACCCUGUUUUUAGUUUUCUAAUGUUGCACGCAAGAUUUAGGACUUGGAUUGUCUGCCCUCUUAGUUAUGGUGCCCUUCCAUGCCCUCCUAUUUUGUGCGAUCACGGUUAAGCCACGUUAAUAUUUUAUAUUAAUUUUUUAAUAAGAUAAUAAGACAAAAAAUAAUAAAAAUAUAAAAUAUUGACGUGGCUUAAUCGUGACCGUACAAAAUAGGAGGGCAUGGAAAGGCACCACAACUAGGAGGGCAGACAAUCCAAGUCUCAAGAUUUAUGGCACAAAAACAGAUCAAAAAUGAUAAAUUAAUGGGUUGUUGGACAAAAAAAUAAGAUUAAAAAAUGUCAGGAGUUAAGCCCAAGCAGAUGAUUUAUAGCACAAAAAAGAAUAAAAAAUUAUAAAAAAAUUGGUUAGAGAGUAAAAAAAUGAUUAAAAAAUGUGAAAAGCUGGUUUGGUGUGUUUGAUUAUUGUUUUUAAAUAUUUUCUCCUUUUAGCAUACCCAUGUAUAGCUGUUGGGAAAACAAAAUUUUUUUUUUUUAAAAUGUGAUUAAAACAGGGCCACGUGGGUUGUGGCACAACUAACAAUAAAAAUUUAUACCUUCUUAAUUUUUUAAAUCCAUGUAUAGCUGGUGGAUGGACUGAAAAAAUAUUAAAAAAUAUGAUGCACAGUAAAUUUAACGGGGCCUCUCUUAUACCACGUGUUGGUCACUGUGAGGUUUGUUAUAUAUAUAUAUAUAUUAUACCUAUACUAAAACCCCAACGACGUGGUACUGUUCACGGACAGUGCACGGACUAAAAUGCCCCUCGAUUUGUUUGUUAAGCCAAAUUUUUGCCAUCUUUUCCACAGUGAAAAGACUGCCUUGCCCUCAAAGGCCACGGGUUGAUACUUUCCUGUUUCCUUUUUUUUUUUCUAUAUUGUUGUAGCUAUCUACUAAAGCAGUUCCCGUCCACUGUUCAUCAUGUGAGAGGGCUACUGUUCAUCAUGUGUAUCUUCUUUUAAAUUCUGACUCCCUCUUCGAUUCCAGCGUUUUUCCCUUACCUAAUCCACACCUGGCAGCAAAUGGUACCUGCCUUUCCAUAAAAAAAUAAUUAAAAAACCAUACCUGAUCCACAUCCGGCAGCAAUGAUGCAUUUCCACCAAAAAAUAAUUAAAAAACCAAAAAUCUGGAACAUGCAGAAAAAAAUGGAUAGAAAAGGGGAAAAAGAAAUAGAGAGAGAGAAAGAAAAGCUGAGCAUGGAUUGUGAGAGAGGGUGUCUAUCACUAGAAAAAAAAAAAUUAAAAAACACAACAUCAUGGCAUCUGGAACAGUUCCCCACCACUGUUCAUCACGUCUUUCCUUUCUUCCGCACAUCGUUCCUCGCAAUUCCUCUAAUUUUUGCCCACGCGUUCAUCGCUCUGCACACCUCCUCUUCAAUCAUCAUGUCCACGCGUCGAUCAUCGUCGAAGGGCUCUGCUUCGACUCCUUCUCGACUUUUCCUCUAACUCUCCUUCACUUUGCGGUCUUCUCUCAUCUCUCACUCUUUCUCAUGCUUUCUUUCUCUACCCAAGAAGCCUUCCAUGCAUUUCGAUCUCUCCCACAAACCCUUAUGUUGCUAAAGCUUGCCUUCCCUCGCUCUCCGAUCUCGAUUUCUCUCUCACUUUCGUGCUGAAAAAGACCAACCCAGUAGAAAUUUCUGCAGUUCUCUCUCUCAAAAACUAUAAAUCACAGCGGCCAAACUCCAGAAAAAUAAAAAUAAAUAAAUAAAUGGAAUUUGAAAAGCCAUUUGCUUUUCCUUGGAUUUGGGUUUUCCUUCGAUUUCUACACUGUCCAAAACUAGCGGCGUGGAUCAAGCUAGGGUUUUCUCUGAGCCGCGAUUGUUGCUCUGUCCUCCGCGCGUCCGUCACUGUAAGUCCUUUUUUUUCCAGAAUUUUCAAUGCAUCGUUUUCUCUUCGUGUCUAACUUUUGUGUGUCUCUGUUAUAAAAUGUUGACGCCAAAGGUUUGUUGCUGAAAAAUUGCGGCUACAAGAUUUUUCAGAUUUUCCAAUUUCGUUGCCAAAAAAAAAAAAAAAACUCCGACGACCAGCGUUUUGUGGUGAGUUUUCCAGUUUUGUCUAUGCUCUUUUUUCUAAUUUUGGAUUUGCAAAUGAGUAUUCUUUUUUCUUUGUUCCUUCGUGACUUGCAUGCUGCUAUAUAAUUUGGUUCUGUUUUUGUUUGUUCUCAAAGUUUGGUGUGUGGGAAUCCGUUAAUGCUUCAUUUUUGCUCUGUACCAAGAGUUGUUUUCUUCUUUCUUAUGGUUGUGAAUAUAUGUAUGUGAACAUAUAAAACCUUCGUUUGGAGUGAAUCGAAAAGCUUACUACGAUAAAAUUAUAUUUUGUGGUACUUGAAUAUUAGCCCAUGGUAUAAUCAGUUUCUACUCAAAGUCUAGAAAUCAAAGGACCCCAAAUUUGCCAGAAAACGAGUAGAGGUUGGUUGUCCUGCAAUCUAACCUCAAUAAUUAUGGUUUUCACUUUAUAAAUUCUGGAUUUUUUUUACUUAAUUGUUUGGACUUUGAAUUGGCAGAUGAGGUUAUAUUAAGUUUUGAACUUUGAUUUUUGUUUUGUGUGAUUGCAGAGCAAGGAGAAUUGACCCCAGUUAGCUCCAACCUUGCGGUAAACUUUUCUUUUUGUUUAGAGUUAUGAGAAUUCUUAUAGAAAAAAUUAGAAAAACUCAUAUUAUAAUUUUUGGUUUAAAUAUGUUUUUAAUUUGGUCCACCAUGUUAUGUUUGUUAACAAGAACCUAUAAGAGUCUCAAAUUCAGUUUCGAACUCUGACUAAAAAUGGAACUUGGUGCCUCCUCAGCCCUCAAAAUUUAAGUAACCCCAUGAUUUUUACAUUACUGCGUUCGUUUUCUCUACUAAUUAUUGUUAUAUGAAUUGUAUUCUUCUAUUAAAAAUGAUUAAUUACACUAUCCAAAAAAAUAAAAAAUAAAAAACCUCAUGCAUUGCAGGUUUGGGAUGAUAGUUUAAAAUCAAUAUGCUCAUUAACCAGUCUGAGAACCUAAUUUGGGAAGUGGGUUUUAAAGUUUCAAUAGUUUCGUUAUGUGUAAUUUUCUUGCUUUGCCUACUAAGAAUCUAAUAACCAAAUGCUUAGUUAUUUUCUCCAAAUGGUUUUCGAUUUGUUGUAGGUAAACGAGGGCUACUCUACUGUUUAUGCAGCAGGGGAAGGGAAGGGAAGUAAAAAUUAUAAGCAAAUGCGUAUAAGUUACAAGCUUUUAAUUAAAAAUAGAAAUGGAGUGACAACAAACAAAAUAUAGGUAAAAUGGACGACUACAUUCUUUCUAUUUAAAUAUAAAUCAAUUGAUUAAGUUUGUGUCUAUACAAGUUUAAAAUGAAGUUAUGUGUUGAUUUUAAAAGAACUAUGCAUGCUGGAUUUUUAUAGAAGUGUCAUGAAAGUUUUAUACCAAACUUUUUACAGGGAUUAAGUUCAUUUAAGUAUGGGUCGUUUUGUAUUUGAAAUCUGAAAGGAGAAACAGAAAUUACAAGAAGAAGAGGAAGAUUGCGUUCCGAUCAUGGCCUUCUCUUCCUGCCUCUUAUCCAAAUCCUGACAAGUUAGUUACUCAACCUUCACUUCUCAUCCGUCUCCUUUUUUUUUUCUUUUUUUUUAUAUUGUUUGGCUUCUGAGAUUUGAGAAAAUUAGGACAUUUAAAGAUUUUGAUUUCAGUUUAAAUUUUCUUAAAUUUAUUGAUUAUUAGAUGACAUAGUUUGUGAUAUACUGUAAUUGAUUUGAGUGAUUAUAAUUUUAAUUUUUCAUGGUUAGAGCGGCAUCGCGAUGAAAUGGGUAUGAAUUAACAUAUUUUGUGCGUUUGAAUCCUCAAUGAAGUUGUUUACUACAGUAAUUGUGUUUGUUUGAUAAUAGGGAUCUUAUUGAAAAGCAAGGAAGAAGAAUUGAAUUAGAUUAUUGCGGGGCUCAGGAAAAACUAUGCUUCUUUACAAGAGAAAUUUACGAAAUAAGAGUUGGAUAAGAUGGUAAGUAGAUGGGUUUGGUAUUCAUUGUGGCUGAAUUUAGGUAACUUCUGUACAUUAUUAAAUGUUUGAAUAUGUCUAUCAGGCUGCAAUGGAAUCUCUCAUUAUGGAAAGAGAGGCUAGACUUGAAAUUGAGCGACAACAAAAUUCCCUCUCAUAUGAGCACAGGAGAGUUCAAAGAGAGCUUUCAAGUGCUACUCAGAAGGUAGGCUCCAUGUGCAAUUGUUCUUGCUAUUUAGGCAAUUUCCUGGAACAUUGAGUAGAAAAACAAAUUAGAAUUUUGUUGGUUUUUUCUUUUAUGAAGUGUAAGCGUUAAUGCAUUUCAUCCUAAUAUGCAACUUAUAUUAGUAUCGCAUUUUGAAAGGUUAGCAUCUCAAGUGAACCAAAUUUACCAUUUUCCAUUUAAAUGAAUUUUAAGAUAACCUCCGGUCCAUGUUUGUUUAACAAUUUGUUAUAAUUCAUUAUAGUUUUCAAAAAGGUCGUGCAUAAUUCUUGCUGAACUUGGUUUGGGUUUUUUUUGUUUACGGAUGGAGUGAGUUAAUCACAGUUCUAUCCGGUUAGUCAUGUUCCCAUUGUUGCAUGACUUUUUGAACAGAAAACAAGGUUUAUUAUUCAAUUUCCACAUCUACUUUUGAUUUGGUAGAUGUUGAUUAAUCUCAUCUGUACCUGUUACUAUUUUGUGGCUAUAUAUGAUUUAUAUGACUUCCCAAUUCUAUAUAUUUAGUACCAUUGAAAUACAUUUGGCAUACGUUAAUUCUGCCUUUCUACAAUUUCUACAAUUUCUCAUUGCUGCUUAAGUGGAACAAAAUUAACUCAAACAUUGCUUACGAAGAGAAUGAAGUUGCAUAAUCUUUCAUGAAAUUUUCAAUCCCGCAGCAACGCGCGGGCACAAAUAUCUAGUAUACACUAAAACCCAAACCGAUGGUUACUGUUCUAGAGCAGUGUGCGGACCAAAAUGCCCCUCAAGUUAGUCUUCAGCAGUUACUUUUUGUCUUUUUGUACAGUAAAAUCCCGAAUUUGCCCUUUCUAUUCACCCGUUCCUCCAUCUGUGGAGUCUUUCUUUUAGUCUUUUUUUUAAUUCUUUAAACCUAGCUGGUGGGCAGACAAAAAAAUAUUAAAACAAUGUGAUUAAAACCGGGCCACAUGGUUUGUGGCACAACAAACAAUAAAAAUUUAUACCUUCCUAAUUUUUUAAACCCAUGUACAGCUGAUGGGAAGAGCAAAAAAAUAUUAAAAAAAUAUGAUUAAGACCGGGCCACAUGGUUUUUGGCACAAGAAACAAUAAAAAUUUAUAUCUUCUUAAUUUUUGAAACCCAUGUAUAGCUGGUGGGAAGACCAAAAAAAUAUUUAAAAAUGUGAUACACAGUGAAUUUAACAGAAGGAGGCUGGAAAAGUUGGGGGAACCGGGGCCUCUCUUACCACGUGUUGGUCAUCGUGAGGUUUGAUAUGUGCGCUUAUUUGAUUUGAGGAAACGCUCAUCCCAAUUUUGGGGCUUUCAUGUGCGACUUUGCAAGCUCUUUGUGUUCAAGGUGUGUAUAUAAAAUCUACUUUUUCUUUUGGGCUUUUUGUUGAACAAAAUUUAAAUUUUUUUGGGGUGGUCUUCGGUUUGGCUCUAUGAUUUGCUUUUCUUUUCAUUUCAGGAAACGUUUGUCUUUGUUUUUUGGAAAUUUUGUAUGUGUUUGCAAACCAUUUGUGCAUCAGGUAUAUAAUUUCAAUUUUUUUUUCGUGGAUUAUGUGUGGUUCUCUGAUGUGUUUUGAUUUUUGAUUUCAGAAAAAGUUAAGGAUACGAUCAAACGUUUACUGGUGAGUUUUCUAUUUUUCUGAUUGUGUGUGAUUUAAUUUUUUUUCAAGCUUUGGGUGUACUUUUCUGAUUUGCUUUGAUUUUUAGUUUGCAGCAAAAGUUGUUGGUCAAAUUUCCAGUUUUUCAUUGCGGCUUUGCAAGCUCUUUAUCAUCAAGGUAUAGAAUUUUUAAAGAGAGUAUAUGUAUGAAUUUAGGUACCAAGGCAAAAAAUUGGUUGCUGACAAUGCGAUAGGGUAGAGGUUUGCUUAGAGACUGAAAUUUAAAAGAUAGAGAUCGCUUUGUUUAAAUAUUUUUGAAAACAAGAGUGUUGUAAAAUGAUAAGAGAAAGAGAUUUUCUUAACUGAUCAAAUUGUUAUCAUGACUAGCUUUUGCUUCUUUUGGGUUAAUAAAUGUUAGAUGCAUUUAGGUUUUUGCGUUGUGAAUUUUUAAUUUUCUGUUUAAUUUGGAUUUUCGUGUUUUGUAUUUUGAAUUCGUAUCCUAAAUUGAAAAUGAAUUAGGAUAAAUGAAUGCUACAUAAACUGAUGACCAUGAUAGAGCAAAAAAUAUAUUGAGUCUUUUUUUUUUAUAGUCUUUUUAUGAGAAUUCUUACAAAAAAAUCUAAAAAAAUGUGAGUUAAACCCGGUGUGUCACGAUAAGUCUUUCUUUUAUUCCAGAAAAAGAUAAAAUAAUGAUAAAAAAAAAUUGGUGGCAGGACAAAAGAAUAUUAAAAAAAUAUGAUAAAACAACUUAUGGCAGGAAAAAUUGAUGGCAGGACAAAAAAAUAUUAAAAAAUGUGAUAAAGCAACUGAUGGUAAGGGAAUAAAAAUCUUGAAAAAUGUGAGUUAAACCCGGCGUGACACGACAAGUCUUUCGUAAGGCAAAAGAAAAAAUUAAAAAGGCUUAAUCGGAUAAAUGGUUCCCGUGGUCAUAAGGUAUUCGGAUGAUAGCCCCUGUGGUAAAAAAAUUCGGAUUUAAACCCCUGUGGUCACAGUCUAUUAGGAUUUAAACCCCUGUGAUUUAAGUCUGUUAGGAUUUAUGCCCUUCUGUCAUUCCUCCAUUCCUCCAUUAGGUUUAGGUUGGCAAAAUUAGAUAAAUGGUUCCUGUGGUCUUAAGGUAUUCGGAAGAUAGUCCUUGUGUUAAAAAAAAUUCGGAUUUAAACCCCUGUGGUCUAAGUUUGUUAGGAUUUAUGCCCGAAACUAGAGGUUUCGUCAUUUUUCCGCUAAGUUUACAGGUGGAGUAGAGUUUCUCUGAGGAGACGCGACAGAACGAGGUGGAACUAAUAAAUCACAUAAUAAUUCAUUAAAAUUCAAGAUCUAAUAAAUCAAAUAAUUCAAAAUGCCUUUAUAAAAUUAACGAGUUUUUGACUACCGAAUAUCUAACCGAUUAAUUAAUUCUUUUAUAACAUAUUCUAUUUUUCUUUGACAAAUAAGACAGUAAUCGUUGGCGUUUUCCCAAAAUUUUACGUAAACCUCUCUGAGAUAAAUAGUUUUUUUUUGUAUAAUUGUAAAUGUGAAGUAAGUAUUCGUAUCCUAUCGGUGAAAACUAACUAUUUGAAAUUCAACAGAUCAUCUGUUUUCGUCUUUUUCUUCUUGUGAAAUAACUGACAUGAAUGAAUUUUUUUACCAUAAACUGAAAUCUUCUCUCCCCCCUCUUUUUAUUGUAAGAUAUUUUUUAUUGAUAGAUACUCAGAGAAACUCUGCUCCACCUGUAAGCCUAAAGAAGGAAUGACAGAACCUCUAAUUUCAGGCAUAAAUCCUAAUAGACUUAGACCACAAGGGUUUAAAUCCGAAAUUUUUCUACCACAGGGGCUAUCUUCCGAAUUCCUUAUGUCCACGGGGAUCAUUUAUCCGAUUUGGCCAACCUAAACUUAAUGGAGGAAUGACAGAAGGGCAUAAAUCCUAACAGACUUAGACCACAGGGGUUUAAAUCCUAACAGACUGUGACCACAGGGGUUUAAAUCCGAUUUUUUUUACCACAGGGCUAUCAUCCGAAUACCUUAUGACCACGGGGAUCAUUUAUCCGAUUAGGCAAUUAAAAAAUACAAGCUAAACUUAACGUGGCAAGAUUCUUUUAGUUCAGAAAAAGAUAAAAUAAUAAUAAAAAAAAAUUGGUUGGCAGGACAAAAAAAAUCUUGAAAAAUGUGAUAAAGCAACGUAUGUUUGUAAGCUCCUCUUUUAUUUCUCUUUUCUUUUCUACACGUUUGCUGUCUUAUUUCCCUUUCUCCUCUUUUUCUUUCAUUUUUAGCUUCUUUUUUUUUUUUUUUUUUUUUUCUGAUGAUCAAUAUUGUUUUUUCUGCAGUUACUGCUUUAACCAAAAAACUUUUGCUAAUGUGUUAAAGGAUGUUGGCAUGUGUUAUCCAAAAAAAAAAAGUAUUGAUUUCACAUUUUUUUGUGUGUAAAUAGUUGAUCCUAACAUGAAUUUUCCGUUCUUUUUAUGUAUAUAAACAAUGGUCUCUUUAGGAUCAUUGUCAAGGGGGAAUACUAGAUUAACCAUUUUUGUGUACUGAUGAUAAGGCAUUUGAUAAAUGUAUUUUCUGUAAAUUAUAUCAACUUACACAACUUUGUAAAAAUAUUUGUUCCAUUUUAUGUUUAGUAUUUAUAACUCUUUGCAUAUUUAUAUGUUAAAAACAUAAUCUAUAGUUAUAUUUUCGCUCCCGCAACAACGUGCGGGCAAAAUUUACUAGUUGAAACUAAAACCCAAAUUUUUGUAUGACAUUGUGACAUUUUAAAGAUGAUUUAUGAAGUUACAAUUACCCCCAAACUUAGUGCAAACUAUAACUUUAUAAAAACCCUCCAGCAACUCAGCAAUGUUUGUCGUUGUCACAGAACAGUAUAUGGUAAGUAAACCCUCCAGGAAGAGUUGUUACCAGAAGAGAUAAAAGAAAACCCACCCUACUAAGUUUUACUUAAAUCACAAUAGAAGAAAAGGUGCAAACUUUCGGAUUCCAUGCCUAUAAACCUCACAAGGCAAUGCACAGAAUAAAGCUACCUCAAUUUGUUACCUUAAUCAUAUUUUGGUCUCUCAAGUUUUCAAAGUUUUUGUCUGCCUCUCUGGGUAGUGAUUUCUGGGUAAGCUUAGCUCCUUCUUCUUCUCUCUCUCUCUCUCCCUCCCUCUCUCUCUCCUUAUAAAAUCCUCCCCAUUAAUUAUUUGAUCUUCUUUAUAUAAAUACUUUGAAUGUUUUAUUUGCUCUGUUCUGUGUUCAUAUCAAUUCGAAGCUAUGUUUUUGCUCUACACAUUGAAUGUCAAUAUUUAUGCAAGCAUUUUAUUUUUGCCUGUAUAAAUUUUCUUUUAGGAACAACUUCCGGUGUUAAAAUGGCUUACGUCCCACCCCACAAGCGGCAUUUAAAGGAAACCGAGAGGCCGUUGCUGACGCCGGAGCUGUUUGCUCCCCAGUUCAAGAAAAACUUAAAUGUCAAGCCAUCAGAGUUUGAUGUUGAAACAAGUUCAAAGUCAUUUCUUUAUGCAAACCAUGCUCUAUCGAGAUUUUACACCGUUGGUUUGGAUGACCAGAACCAGUUUCCGUCUACAGUUAAGCUUGAGCCCAUUUCCUUGGACUCUACCUACUGGAAUAAUGAAGAAAACCUCUAGCUUUGGUAAACUCUUGCCUAGAUAAUGGUAAGUAGUAGUUUAACAUAUGGUUAAUAUAGUUAAUCGAAUUAUAUAUAUGAAUAUUUUUAAAUUAAUUUUUCUUUCUUGGUUUAUAGAAUGGAAAUUGCCAAAGAGUCCUUGGGUAUCUAUAGCAGAAAUUGCCCUUGAUGACCUAUUUUCUGCAUAUAAAAAUGCAAGGAAUCAAAUGGAGUGUGGAGAGCAUGAAGAAUUUCAACUGAAUUUGGUUGCUAAAGUGGGAAAAUUUCUGUUUCAUAGGUUUGGUUUUCUUCUUAGAUAAUUCAUCUUUUUGCCAUGCAUAUACUAACUUAAAUACGAAAGUAUUGAAGAUUGUAAAAACCCACAUUAGAAAACUGACAGAGUUAAAUACCACAUAUAUUGAAUGGAUGUGCUAAUAAUUGCAUGGAAGCCUUUUGUAUAAAAUCUCAAACGUCAAGGGAAACUUUGACCGAAAGCAUGUAUACGUGAUAUCCCUAAGUGGUACUUGAAAGCGUGCUAUAUUAUCUUCAAAGAUUAAUUUGGUUUGUUUCUUCGCAACUGUCAGGACCCCUUCGAUGAACCUGGAAUCUAUAAGGGAAGGUUUGGAUACUGAAACCUUGAUAAAAUUGAAGAAGUCUUUUUAUGCAAACGUUCCGUUGUCGUAUAAGGAAAACAUUGUAAAGGAAGUUGUCCCUAAGAUUUGUGUUGAGCUCAAAGGGAAGAACGAGUUAUACUAUGUAAAGGUAUAUUUGUUUUGUUAUAUUCACGUCAACUAGCUAAAUUCAUACUUUCACAGAUAUCCAAAGUGUUUGAAUAUAUUAAAUCUCUCUCCUUUGUUCCUUGUUCUUGUAUAGUUGUCUGACUCUAGACGACCAAAAUCAAUCAUCACUUGCAAAUGCAGUGUAGCAAAAGAACAUGGAAAACUACAACUAUGCAAGGCAAGUUUUAAAUUCAUAAAAUAUGGAUGUGUAGUUUACUUAUUGCAAAAUCACGCACUGUUAUGUGUUUUAUUUUUUCGUUUAGUGAGACUUGCAUCAAAUGGCCAUUUUCUUUUAGAUGGAGCUGGAUCCACUGCGUUACAUGGUCACGAACAUACCAUGCCUUAAUAAAAAUUUGGACCUCAGACUCAUGCUAUGCACGAAGAAGAUCGUAACAGCUUUCGCUGUAAGUUGCUAUACCUGGAACACCAUUGAGAAUUUUUAUUUUAUUCUUCGUUGAUUAAAAUUGUUGGUGUAUCCAGGAUGAUGAGAUGCAAUACAUUAGGGAUGUAAUUAGUUCGGCGAUUCUGGAUUCAAAUGUGAAGGGAGGGAGGGUUGAGAUGGCCACUAGGGAAAGCGUUUUCUGGAGGCCGGUAUAAUGUCGUUGGAAUUUGGCAUACAUUUACCACUACUUAUGAAAAUCCAUCUCUGAAACUAAAGUUAAGGCAUGCGAAUCGCUUCGAUUUUACAACCUCAGCUGGUGAAACUGGUUGGGAGGUUAGGCUGUUUCUGAAAAUGCUCGUUUCAAAGUUACACGUAAGUCUUGUAUUUUUCUCUCACAACCAAGCAUCUAUCAUGUAAUGUACCAAGAAAAGAUCUAUCAUGUAACAUACGUUGAUCUUAUUCUUUCGAUUUUUCAGGAGGAGAAUGUUGAAGUCGGCUUGAUUUCUGAUAUGCUGCAGGAGAAUGUGAAGUUGAUAUGGGACAACUUCUUAUGCUGUGAACCUUUUCUAACAUGAAAUGGAACUGCACGUUGUAAACUUCUCUAUUGGAACAAUGAUUUAACACAUGGUUCGUUGUAAACCCCGGUAUUUUUUGGCACUCGGUUCCUUCAUCUUAAGUCAUGUUUAGUUUACUUUUUAGAUUCGGAACUCUUACUCGAGCUGAUGGCGAGAUCUUUUCUGUUGUUGGAGUGAUUGUUUGUGGAGUGAUUUGCUUUGCUCAAUUAUGAUUUUGUCAUUACACUGUGGGAUGAUGGUUAUGAAUUUGUGAUUUCAGAAUGUUUAGUUUUACUUAUGUAUUACGAGAAAUGAUAAGGAGACUAUCUCAAAAGUGAGGCUCUCAAUGGACUCUCCGCUACCUCAUGCUUUUGACACAAUUCUUGUGCCAACAUUACAAAACAUUGUGCAAAAAAUGCGAGGUGACAAAGUGUCCAUGGAGACUCCAACUUUGAGAAAGUCUCCUUAGUAUUUCUCUUACAAGGAAAGUUGAGAUUUUAGUAUAAAAUCAAUUGAUAGUAGGGAAAAACCCGAUUCAUUAUAAGCUUAUGCAAAGUUCGUUAACCUUAUGAUGGGAGACAAUCCUUGAUAAGAAAGAUGUAACUACUAGAUACCUAGAUUUCUAGUCAUACGUGAAUUGAAUAAUAAUCUAAAUGUUUAAUUUAAGCAUUUAAUUAAACCAUUAUCCCUUAUAUGAGGUCUCUAGUUGAUUUUUUUAACCUUGACGGUACAAGGAAUACUUAUUAAUAAGAAAAUUAAAGUUACACUUAGAUAAGAGGAACAAAAACCUUAUCCUCGUAACACAAAAAACGAGGAAGGAAUCAAAACUUGACCCCUCCUAAAUCUUGAAGAAAAUGAAUACAAGAAAAUAGGGUUUCUAAUGACCAAAACCCCUCAAACAAAACUUAAAAGUCAUUGCAACCGACAAUCUACAAAUUAUAUUCCGAAAAAGAUUACUCCGAGUUGAAUUAUUCUCUCUAAUAGUUUCUCUUGUAUUAAAAAAAAUUAUAAUUGUACCUCAUUUGUCAAGAAUUUCCGAUUCAAAUGAUUAAAGAUGUUUACUAUGUGUGCACAAUCCUCCCUUCACAAAGCAUGUGAACUGGGGACCAUAUGGACCUACAAAACGUCGAUAAAAGUUAAACAUAGUAAUGGGAAAAAACAAUUUCACUAUCAAAAACUUCUUUUUUAUUUUUUUACUUUAUAAAAACCAUCCAGCAAGGUUUGUCACAGAACCGUGUACAGAGAAAUCUCUGAUGAGUCUAUUUUAUUUAUAUAUUUUAUCCUAAUUUUAGUAUGCUUUGAUAUUACUUUGGUGAAAUUUUGAUACUUUGAUUCAUAUUUUUAAAGUAAAACAUGCGACUUCUUCUUGAGCAAAAAGUGAUGAAGGGGAUGAAUUUUGGAGUGAUUCCAAUUGAAGGAUGUUCGUGAGUCCUCAGAUUGGUCGUGUCAAAGUUUCAGAUUUUCCUAACAAGCAGUUAAUUUAUGGCAAUGAAAUAAAGGAGUAGUGUGCGAAGCUGUCAAAAUGACGUUUUGGUCUUAUUUGGGCUUUUUGGCAUCCAAGAUGGUGUCUUUUGUUAUUGGACUCUUAUGGAGAAAUGUUCAGAACAUCUUACGCUUUAAAAUAAGCUAUCUUGGUCUGUUUUGGAGGUGUUUAAGGCCUAGAAUGUGGUUGUUUUGGAGAUAAGUUCAUAACAUCUCAAGCUUUAAAAUAAGCUAUAUUGGGCAUGUUUUGAAGGUGUUUUAGGCCUAGAACGUGGCUGUUUUGUGGCUAGGCUGAUUUCCCAUUAUUGUUUAGAAUUAUAUUUCCUAGUUUCUUUUUACUUAUUAUGUUUCUUAGUUUUUAGAAGACCUUUUAUGAGAAUGAUUUUAUUUGCUAGUAAUAUAAAUAAGGCUUAUUACACCAUAUGGAGGCAUUACUUUGGAGAAUUUGGCUUAGAGAGCUUUUGACUAUUUGAGUUUAUUUAGAAGGUGUUUUCUAUUCAUGUUUUUAAAAAUAUUUUUCUUUAUGAUGUGCGUAAUUAGUCUCUUUUGUUAGGGCGAGGCCACGAGUCUUAACAAGAAUAUGUAAUUUCUUUUCAAUUUGUUUAUGAUUUAUACAUACAGAUUUUGUAUUAUUGUGUUUGAAACUAUCUAAUUGUUUUGAUGCUUGAUCACCAUUAGGAUAUUUAGAAAAUGAAUUUGAUGCAAUUUUGGUCGGAUGACUGUUCCUGAAAUUGAUGAAGGCUUCUUACGGUUAAUAAUUGUAAUUUCACUUAGGAUGAAUACUGUGUUUUAAGGGUUCAUUGUUUUUCAAAAGGUUUUCAUAAAGCUUAAAAGAGUCUUGAAUGUUUAGAUUUGAUCUGAAUACCAUGAACGGAUUGCAUGUUUGAAAUACGUUCUAUAUUGGAGGUCCAAGUAUAGCAUACUUUAAAAAAACCUAACCCUUCAAAAUAUUUUUAAUUGGUUGAGAGAACUAUAUAAAAUUGUUAAGGUGACAAUGAAAUUAUAGUUCUUUUACAAACUACAACUUUAUUUUCAAAAUCCGUUUUCUUUUGUUUCCUUACUUUGCUGAUUUAUUUAAUUAUUUAAUUAAAAAUCGUUUUUAUUAUUUUAAAUUUCAAAAUCAAUUUUUUUUCAAACUUAAUUUUAAAUAGGUAAUUAAGAAUUAGCUAAAUACAAAUGAUUUAAUCAAUCUAUAUAGAAACCGAUCUUAUUUGAACCGUUUAUAUUAUAAUUAUUUUAGUAUCUUGUCCUUUUGCAAAUAUUUUUAAAUAUUUUUUUUGAAAAAAUCCUAUCAACCUCCACCAAGUUGUCUUGUCACUAGAAAAAGAAAAAAGAAAAAGUUGAAGGAGUUGAAGAAAAGGUGCAAACCUUCGAAUUCCAUGUCUACAAAACCUGCAAUGCACAUGGUAAAGCUACUACAAUUUCUUAUCUUAAAUCUUUUUUUGGUCUCCCAGUUUUCAACUUUCUAUCUGCCUCUCUGGGUACUGAUUUCUGGGUAGGUUCUUCUUCUUCUUCUUCUUCUUCUUCUUCUUCUUCUUCUCUCUCUCUCUACUUAUCAAAUUCUCCCCAUUAAUUAUUUGAUCGUCUUUAUAUAUUUACUUUGAGUGUUUUAUCUGCUCUGUUGUGUGUUCAUAUCAAUCCGAAGCUAUAUAUUUUGCUCCAAGAAAGUGAUCAAAAUAAUUACCCAGUUGAUCAAUUUAUCAGGAAAGCACCCUACCUACCAUGAUCACAUUCUCGGAGAAGGAUCCUCUCCGGAUCUCUCUCGGGGGAUCCAUGGGGGUCGUUUAAUCUUGGCCCUUCACGGAAAUCGUGCGGUCACAAUUAAUUAUUCUUUUUUUCUACGCAAGCCCACGUAAUCCUUCUGCCUUUGUCUGAGCACCCGCCCCACCUCCGCACCGCCGCACCGCCAUCUUCUUCAUCUUCCAUUUUUGCCUCCAGAUCCUUCAAUUCUCUUAUUCCCAACCAUUUUGGGUAAAAUACAAAACUACAAACCAUGUUUUUAUUAUUUUUUUGAAGUCUAGGACAAACCGAGCAGCAAUCCGAACGCCGUGGUGGUGUUGGCUGUAUUCGCUGGGUCUGGCGGCUCUGCACCUACAUCGCCUCCGACGACGGCGACACCUGCGCGUCCGCCAACCCCGACGAGUUCGAACCCAUCCCUCGCAUCUGCCGCCUAAUCCCCAUGUUUUCCCUUUACCUUUGCCUUCUGUCGUUGACUUUAACAUUAAACUUUGAAACACUAAACCUCCUAAAGUAAUUGAAUGAAAAAGUAGAGAAUUUUAGAAAAUUUGCGGGUCGGAGGAAGAAGGAAGAAGGAAGAAAGAAGCAGUGAGGGAGGUGAGUGCCUCGUUUGGCGUGAAAGAUGACAAAAAAAAAUAAAAUUAGUUUUUGACCGUUCGAUUUACGUAGACGAUCUGGAUUGAAGGAUCCCCACGGAUCCUCAGAGAGAGAUUCGGAGAUGAUCUUGGUCCACUUUAUCAGGCGAACCAUUUUUGUAAUUGUUCCAAAUUCGAAUGAAAGGUUUCAACUUUCUUCAUUUUCCUCAGCAACCAGAUAAACCAAUAAGAACACUUGUUGCUGCAUAAAUAUGACUACUCUGUUUUUGGGUUGCCCUCACUUUGAUCCUUCGUUUUUAUAGGCAUAAGUGCUAGUUCUACAAUGGCUUACGUUCCACCACACAGGCGGCACUCGAAGGGACCGGAGAGGCCAUUGCUCAAACCAGAGCUGCUUGCUCCUCAAUCCAAGAAAAACUUAAAUGUUAAGCCAUAUAAUAAGUCUAUUGUGGAUUGGACGGAAAAUAUAGUUUAUGCAGACCAUUCUACACAUCGAUGGUGCGCCAUCCCUUUGGAUGACGAGAACCAGUUUCCAUCUUCUGUUAAUCUUGAGCCUGUUACCUUGGAGUCUGCUGUGCUGAAUUUUGGAGAAAAUCAUCUAGCUUUGAUCAAUACUGGUCUAGAUAAUGGUUAGAACUUCAAUAAUUCUUUUGUGCAUGUAUUUUAUAAGUUGUUACUUGGGUUAUGGAUUUGUUUGGCUGAUACUUGAUAGAAGGCGGUGAGGUGGAGUGGAACUUGCCAAGGAGCCCUUGGGAAUAUAUAACAGAAAAUGUGCUGGAAGACUUGCUUUCGGCAUUUAAACACGUGAGGAAUGAAAUGAAGUCUGCAAGGCCCAAAGAAGUAAGUCCAACUUUGGUUGCCAGAGUGGGGAAAGUACUCUUUCGCAGGUUAGAUUUCCUCCUCAUCUAAUUCACUGGUUAGCUUUCGAGCCUUUUGUGCCAUUCAUUAACUUGAUUAUGUAAUGCGAUUAUUCAUUAAUUUGUUCUUUUAGUUGCCUCAGGAUACUGGUUAAAGUAGAACAAAAAAUAGUUAUACUAUGAUAAAAGGUCAUAUUUUGGCAUUUUAGCUCAGAAGAUACGGUGCCAAGUUUGACAGUGAAGUAGGAUUAUCAAAUUCUGCCCUUGUUUUUGAUACUUGAUACAUAUAUUUCAGUAUUGAUGCUUAAUCACUGUCAACCAUCUCAUAUUUCACAUUAGUUUUGUAACAACAGGAAAGAAUCUUGUACUACUCCUUAGUUAUACAUGAGCAGAUGAAAGACAAUCUUUUGUUGAAAUCUUUGUAUGAGUUAACAUGGAAUCUAUCAGAAAAAAAAUUGUUUACUGAAGCCUUGAAACAAUGGAGGAAAUCAUUUUGCACAAACAUCCCCGUUUCAUUUAAGGAAAAGAUUUUAAAGGAAGUUGUCUCGAAAGUUGUAGUUGAUUUCGAAGAGGAGAAACAUAUACCAAGUAAAGCUUUUCAGCCUAUUGUUCUUUUAGUUGAUCGUUUCAUGCGAUUAUCCUUUUUACCUUUAUAUUGUUCUCUUAUCUGCCUCAGAAUACUGGUUGAAGUAGAACAAAAUAAUAGUAUAUUCUAUGAUAAAAGGUUACAUUUGGCAUUUUAGUUUAGAAGGUAGGAUGCCAAGUUGAACAGUGAAGGACUCUAAAACUCUGCCUUUGUUUUUCGAUACUUGAUCAAUAUUAUUUUGGUAUCGAUGCUUAAUUACUGUCGAUAAUGAUAUUUCAUAUAAUUUGUACACAAACAGAUGUAUACAUAGCAAUUUUUGUUGAAAUCUUUGAAUCAGGAGCCCUUCAAUUAACAUGGAAUCCAUCAGAAAAAAUUAUGGUACUGAAAUCUUGCAACAAUGGAGGCGAUUAUUUUACAUAAACACUCCUGUUUCAUAUAAGGGAAAGAUUGUGAACGAAGUUGUCCCGAAAAUUGGAGUUGAUUUCGAAGAGGAGGAAGAUACAUACGAAUUACAGGUAUUUCUUUUAGACACGUCAACUUACUGAGUUCUGAGUUCAUGUGUUCCAGAAUUCUGACUGUAGCUAUUGAAUUGCUCAUUCAUUUUAUUCUUGUAUAGUUGUCUGAUUCUACGAGUCCAGAGUCCACUCUCUUCUGCAGAUGUCGGGUAAUGAAAGAACAUGGAAAGCUACAACUCUGUGAGGCAAGUUUUCCAAUUCAUGCCAACUAAAUUUGAUGAAACCGUAUAUGUUGCAUCAAUAUCACAAUUGAGUUGCCACAAUAUUGAUUAGAUAACUUGGAUAUAAUAUUAUGCAGCAAAAAUAUGGGUAUUGUAUAAUAAAACUCAAUGUUUCAACCACUGAAUGUGAUUAAGUUCUCCAAUUUUUGGAAUAAUUUGUGAGGAGCCUUUCCAGAUCAUUAAUAUUUUCCGGACUCUUCCCUCUCUUAAUUUUUCCUGUUGCUUGGCUUAGGGUUUGUAUCCUGAGAUUUACAUCGAAAUGUCAACUUUCUUUCAGAUCAAAUUGAAACCAGUGCGUAACAUGGUAAUGGACAUUUCAUGCACUACUAAGAAUCUGGACCUGAGACUAAUGCUGUGCACGGAGAAACUCGUAACUGAUCUGACUGUAAGCUGCUUUGCCCCGUCCUUUAUAAAUUUACAUUUCUAAUCCUUGUUUCAGCAAAGAUAUUAAUUUUGACCUAUAUUUAUCUUCAAGCCACAAUCAAAACAAAGAAUGUAACGUUUUCUAGAAAUGUAACAGGACGAUAUGGGUUAACCGUACUGGAUCCCUGGCUGAACUUAUGCUUCUUAGAAUGAAGUUUCGUGAUCAUAUUAAUUGUUGCCAUUUCAGAAUGAUGAGAUGCAAAGCAUCACGGAUCUGAUUAAUUCUGCGAUUCUAGAUCCAGAUUUGAAGGGUGGAUUGAGGUGGCCCCCGGGGAAGGAGUCUUCUGGAGAUAAAUACACAGUUGUUAGGGUUUGUCACGGAAUGGGUAGUACGUAUAGAAAUUCAUCACUGGGACUUAAAGUAAAACACUACGAUCGAUUUGAUUUGAGAACCUUAACUGGGGAAGCUUCCUGGGGAAUAAGUCUGAUGCUGGAAAACGUCGUGUCAAAGUUACAGGUAAAGGCUGCCUAUUCUCUUGGACAUUUUUUUUAGUUCAUAUGCUGAAAUAAAAGAUUAGUUUGAGAAAGUUUGUCGUGCGCUGAAAUCUCCUGUUCUUUUAAUUUUCAGGAAGAGAAUGUUGAAGCCAGCACAAUUUCUGAGAUACUCAAGGGAGAUAUGCAGUUGAUAUGGGAUAACUUCUUGAGCUUUGAACGUUUUCUAACAUGAAAUUGCAUGUUGUAAAUCAGUGAUAACGUUCUGUGCGAUGUGUAUAUAUCUGUCUACCUCCUUUGUUUUAUGUUCAACUUUCGGCAUCGUUUGAUGAAUAAUUAGUAACUGUUUUUGUAUUUCUUGCAAUUCUGU